UCUGAACGCUGCCCGAGCCCCACUGUUCUCUCCCCUAAAUUAUCUCCGAAAGGGCCUCUUGGGAACAAGUCUGUGGCUCACUCCCUAGACACUAUCUCGAGGCAUUAAAGAACCCGGUAUAUAUUUUAAAGUAGAACUCCCCGCUGAGCCGGUGAGCUCGUUGGCACCAAGGCAACCUGGUGGAAGGUGUCCCUGCCCAUGGCAGGAGAUGGGACAAGAUGAUCUUUAAGGUCCUUCUAACCCAAACCGUUCCGUGAUUCUAAUAAAUUCCGGCAUACAGGUUAUAGGGAGCUACUAUCAAGUUGCAACAUGAUGGAUCCAUUAUCAUGAAUAGACAGUGUCUCAGAUGAGGAGGACAGAAAAAGUUUGCGGCGGCGAAGGACAGAAGGAAAAGGAAUUCAAGAUUUUUCAAAACAGGUGCCAAGAAGCAGACUUUCUUUCCUUGCUGCAGACAGCAGAUCAAACUCUGGAAAAGAAAAACUGGCCUUCUUUUAGCCUGUUUGAACGCCGAGGCAUUGGCUGAGUUUGGCAGUAGUUCCCCAUCUCUGCUGUAUCCCAACUAUCCCUCCAGCGCUGUCGUGGGAAAAGUGUUUCUGCAAAUGCUCAUUUCUGGCAAAACGCACGGAUGCAAAGUUAGGGACAGUUGUGAAUGACAUCUAACCAAGAAAUGGAGCUCAGACAGGAGGAAACACUGGAGAAGGAAAUUAAAGAAGGAGAAGGUCUGUUAAAGAACAGUUCCAACGAUUUGGAUGUGCCACAGAAACAUCCCUGUCCCUGCCACUGUGUAUCUCACUGGAAGAAACUACGCUGUGGUCUCUGUGGCAGUUCAGUUGGUUUAUAUGGACGAGCAGGAACACGAGGAAGAGGCGCUCAAAGCUCCCUGUGAAAGGCAAAUGAAGCCACUGGUCAUUAGCCUGGUGCCCCUUCCAGUUCCUUGGGAAUCUGUACAUUCCUAAUGCCUCCAAUGUAAUGUGUGUGUCCUGUGACCAAUAAAGUGUGUUCUUUGUGCUCCCUGGCAGAUGUGCAGGUUCAGGCAGCACGUGCAGGUGUUUUUGGGGCUGGCUCGUGUGGGAUGAGGAGAGGUGGGAGCCUGUGGCUUGACAGGAAAAAGAAAAACAGGAGAAAAAAGAAUCUGAACAAUGUGUUGAAAAAGACUCCAGUCAGAGCUGCUCAGGACCAGCUGUUUUUUUCUAAUUAGAAUAACAAAAAUAGCACAUGCUAAAAUGUUUUUUGUUUUUUUCUCAAAAGCCAUGAAUGCUUUAGGAACUAUAAGGAAAGAGCUCUAAAACCUAUUUAAAUGAAGGAAUGUUUCAGGAGCCAUAUGGAGAAGAAAAAGAAAAGGCGAAAGUAGAGAAAUGUUUUAUUUUUAGCUAAAUCUGAAGCAUUUCGAUUCUUCAUCCAAUGUUACACAGAAAUUGUCUUACUUCUAAACUUCCAAAAAUGUCAGUGCUGAUGCUUAUUGUAUCAUGGCUUAAAGGAGACAGUUAAAAUACUCGGUGCCUUUCAGUGGGCUGUUCUUCCAGGCACUGGAAAUUUGAAAAUUCCAUUCCGUGCCCUGAACACGCAUUGAGAUAUAUUCCUAAGAUCUGUCUGUGCUCUGGUAAUGUACGAGAGCUGCACGUAAUGAAGGAUGUGACAAACACUCAAAACUCACCCUGUAUCAUCAGUCUUUGCUCCUCUUUUUUCUUCUUUUCCCCCCCCCCCUUUUCCUGAAGCGCUGAUGAUUCAAAACUUUGACUACAGGAAUAACAUUUGUAACAGCUCUGGCAUUCUGGACAUCUGCACUGCUCGAGUACUUCAGAAUAAAGUCACAUGGCCAUGGGGAAAUUUCACAGAAUUCAAAUCACAGGGACUUGCCAAGGUGUAUAACGAGUUUGUUUUCAGCUGUUCUCCUCAUGAAUAAUUACCAGGCAGGCAUAUCCUAAAGCGAGCACAAGCUGUCAUUUCACCAGAAAUAUUCAAUAUUUAAAACAGAAUUUCGAAUUUAGAAUUUCAUAAAUGAAAAUAAUUAACAGCCCAGGCAAAACAGCCCAGUCCAAGUGCUGUCAGGUACCUCCUGCCUUUCCAGGAGGCUUCCCAGGACCAGCACGUUGGAGCCACAUUAAAUUAUUUUUUUCAAUGUAAAGAAAAUUAUGCAAAUGUAAAGGGAAUUGCAAGUAUCUUUUUUUUUUUCUCCCCUAGAACUAAUACUUUGCUAUCAUUUUACUGACUGUUCCUUUACCGAGCACAGGAGGAUCCCAAGGCUUCCAUCUGUUUUAGUCCCUUCGGAUCAAAGCUGCUCGUGGGUUCUUUUCCACCACCAUACACAGGAGCCAACAGCAGUGCAGAGCUGGACAGGAAGGAUGAGAGGGGGGGAUAAGAUGCAAGGGAUGGGAUGCACUAGACCUCAAAGCCUUCCUUAGACCCUUUACUCCCAUGCAGGUCCCUAACUGGAAGCUCAGACCUGUGCUGUUCCUUUGGGAGAAGUUGGGAAGAACUCCUGGCAGAGGGAGAAGGGACCAUGGGAACACGAGCAGCUCCAAGGGUCUCACUGCCCCUCCGACAGCUUCCAGAUCAGCUGUGACCUCUCUGUUAUUCCAGCAAAUAUCUGCUCACAUCCCUGGGUUUUCUGCUUUUGCAUCCCAGGGGGGAUGAAAAAAGGGGAGAUUGGGAGCCAAGAGAAAAGCACCCUCGCCUUUCACACAGGGCUUAAUGUUGGCACGUUAUUGGAACGUUAUGAAAAUCUUUAUUGGAGCUUGAAUAAUGCCCUGAAAUAGAUAUUGUGCUGGUUAAUAAAUUACAUUUUCAAAUGA